rnacentral:rRNA from 1 species
AGCAGCCGCGGUAAUUCCAGCUCCAAUAGCGUAUAUUAAAGUUGUUGCAGUUAAAAAGCUCGUAGUUGAAUUUCGGGGUUAGUAGGCUGGUCGUGCCACAGGUAUGCACUGGUCUUACUGAUUCCUCCUUCCUGAUGAACCGUAAUGCCAUUAAUUUGGUGUUGCGGGGAGUCUGGACUGUUACUUUGAAAAAUUAGAGUGUUUAAAGCAGGCUAACGCUUGAAUACAUUAGCAUGGAAUAACGAAAUAGGACGUUCGAUCCUAUUUUGUUGGUUUCUAGGAUUGACGUAAUGAUUAAUAGGGAUAGUUGGGGGCAUUAGUAUUCAAUUGUCAGAGGUGAAAUUCUUGGAUUUAUUGAAG